rnacentral:rRNA from 1 species
UACGGAGGUGGCAAGCGUUGCUCGGAAUCACUGGGCGUGAAGGGCGCGUAGGCGGGGAGGCAAGGCGGGGGGGAAAUCCCUCGGCCCAACCGAGGAACUGCGCCCGAGACUGCUUCUCUUGAGUCCCGGAGAGGAAGGUGGAAUUCCCGGUGUAGCGGUGAAAUGUGUAGAGAUCGGGAGGAACACCGGUGGCGAAGGCGGCCUUCUGGACGGUGACUGACGCUGAGGCGCGAAAGCGUGGGGAGCAAACGGG